UUAGGGGCGUAAACUCCUUCUCCUUGCCGAUGAUAAUGACAGUAGGCUAUGAAUAAUGCACCGGCAAACUCCGUGCCAGCAGCCGCGGUAAUACGGAGGGUGCAAGCGUUACUCGGAAUCACUGGGCGUAAAGAGCGCGCAGGCGGUAUUGUAAGCUGGAUGUGAAAGCCUACAGCUCAACUGUAGAACUGCAUCCAGAACUGCGAUACUGGAGUCUGGGAGGGGUAACUGGAAUUAGUGGUGUAGGGGUAAAAUCCGUAGAGAUCACUAGGAAUACCCAAAGCGAAGGCGAGUUACUGGAACAGAACUGACGCUGAGGCGCGAAAGCGUGGGGAGCAAACAGGAUUAGAUACCCUGGUAGUCCACGCCCUAAACGAUGGAUGUUAGUCGUUGGAGAGCAAGUCUCUUCAGUGAUGCAGCUAACGCAUUAAACAUCCCGCCUGGGGAGUACGGCCGCAAGGUUAAAACUCAAAGGAAUAGACGGGGACCCGCACAAGUGGUGGAGCAUGUGGUUUAAUUCGAAGAUACGCGAAGAACCUUACCCAGCCUUGACAUCGAUGGAAUCUGCCAGAAAUGGUGGAGUGCCUCUUUUUGAGGAACCUGAAGACAGGUGCUGCACGGCUGUCGUCAGCUCGUGUCGUGAGAUGUUGGGUUAAGUCCCGCAACGAGCGCAACCCUCGUCCUUAGUUGCUAACAGUUUGGCUGAGAACUUUAAGGAGACUGCCCUCGCAAGGGGGAGGAAGGUGGGGACGACGUCAAGUCAUCAUGGCCCUUACGGUUGGGGCGACACACGUGCUACAAUGGGUAGGACAGAAAGAUGCAAUACCGCGAGGUGGAGCGAAACUCUAAACCUACUCUCAGUUCGGAUUGCAGUCUGCAACUCGACUGCAUGAAGCUGGAAUCACUAGUAAUCGCGAAUCAGCCAUGUCGCGGUGAAUACGUUCCCGGGUCUUGUACUCACCGCCCGUCACACCAUGGGAGUUGAGUUCACCCGAAGCGGGGAGGCUAAAUUGGCUACCCUCCACGGUGG
rnacentral:rRNA from 1 species